ACCGACAUCUCAAAACCUUACGGCAUCGGCUGGAACUACUCUAUCGGCUUGUCAGCCGAUCAGUUAUUUGAUCUGUUGUUUACAUAUCUUGUCAAUUGCAGGAUCAAACUGACUGGCACAUCCGCAUCUCAUCAAUUUUUGGACCUACACUGGAGCUAAGCAUAUCUCUCAUGCCGUUGUGUUCAUUGAUUUAGUUUGCGCCAACACAGUUCCGGCACCAUCGGCCGAACGCGAAUUUUUCGUCAACACCUAUAUAAAUAGGACGCAUCCUCUGUUUGAUUGGGGAUUGGUAUUUUUAUGUCUAGUAAACUACACUUCACAACUCAGUUGUGUCUCCAAUCAAGAUCUUCACGUAUAGUUUGUUGGUACAUAAUUUGUUCCCAGAACACUCGUUCCUUGGGCACUUCUACAUAUCACCAUCCUUACUUCGACCAUAAAACCAACACCCAUUGUGUUGUAGGUUUCUAGGACUCUACACAGUGCAUGUGAACACUUCAAUUUCUUGGAAUAAAAAAUAUGCAGUAGAAAUGAGAGGCAACAGGAGAAGUAGUACUACUUCCUUGGUGGUGGGUGUUCUUCAGGAGCCGCUUGUGUUGCGGUUCUGGAGAAGUAUCAAUAUCGAUUUCAAGUAAUUUUACCUUUCUACCAAAUCUUUCUGGCCAAGGAACUAAGACGGUGUUUGAUUGUGAAGGUUGGGAACCUUCCCCACCCGUCACGGAAAACAGAGAAGCUUAUUAGCGCAUGAUUAAUUAAGUAUUAGCUAAAAAACCUUUAAAAUGAAUUAGUAUGAUUUUUUAAAAUAAAUUUCCCAUAGUCUUUUUUGUUGCAAAAAAUACAAUUUAGCAGUUUGGGAAACAUAUGCGUGUGAAACAAGGGAGUGGAGGUUGGGAAUAUAAAGAAACAAACUCAGCCUAAGAGUACAUGUGUACAAAAAAGUAGGAGGAAAAAAAAGAACCAUGAACGAAGCAACUUACAGGAGCUGAUAAGAUUGUAUUGAGUAAGGUCUUAUCCGUGUGAACAAGAUAACAUAUAUAACAGAAUAAUAACCUUUGACGUUAUCUCGUGCCCGCAUCGCUGCUGAAUUAGUACCUCACUCUGAUAAGCUACAAGGUGGUUGUAUGAUGCCCCUUUCCAUGCUGACUAACAACUUUAAUCAACAUUAUAAGUACAAGGUCCUACGUCGCUACACACCUUUUUACCUUGCAUCUGGCUGCCAAGUAAGCUGCAUCCUAUAAUUUUCCAGUUGAAAAGUUUCUGAUUUUGGGUGAAAAUGUUUGCAUAUUGAAUUGACUGUUGUUAAUUUUUAGUUUUUUUAGUCUCUCUUUGAAUUUGUUUGAAAUUCCACCUGUAGAAAGUUUCUAUAUGUGCAAAGUUUAUAUAUCCAAAAGUUCAUAUGUGCAAAGUUUGUACAUGCAAAGUUUCUAUCAGCAAAAAGUUUAUACAUGCAAAGUUUCUCCAUAAAUAUUGGAUUAAAAAAGCUUUAUUAGUUCUACAAAUUUGUGCUUAGUAAAACUUACAGAGCGAAAAAUUAUGGUUUAGGCUAGUUUUCAAGGUUAGUCGAAAGUUGAGAGAGGAGCACUAUUCUUACACUUUGUUAACACAAUUAGAGUUAAUGAAGUUUAUCAAUUUUCAGAGAGUUCUUUGAUUUGUGUUUUUGCCGAUCUCGGCGGUUAAACCGGGAAGAACCCAUGACAUUGAGGCGAUCGCCUGAUUCAGGGGGUUGCGGUGGUGAGCUGGGCGGUCAGACUGAUGACUAGGGAGCAGUCAGACCAGAUAGCACUUGGCGGUCAUGUUACAGAAUAACUUUUAAUUCCGUUAAAAGUUUUGCUUUUUGUAUUUGUUUCUUGUGUCUCAUAUCUUAUAAGUGGUAUUAGAGUCACGUUUAGUCUUUUCGAGCUGAAAAAAUAUUCUUUCAACCCUUUUGUUUUCUCCCUUGAUUUUUCUAUCAAACGUUUUCUAUCACACGUUUGAUAUCAAAUCCAUAAUUCAAAUUCAAAUCAUUUAGACUAUGUGAUAGAAACGUUCCACCGGUUUGGUUGUGAGGAAACAUUCAAAUUAUUUUGUAUAUAUUAUCAAACUAUUUCAUGGGUAUAGUAAACAGUUAGUCAUUCAUGAGUAUGAAAUAGAAAGCUUUUCAGAGGAUAGGACUCAAACUUUUUGAUAGGCCUAAAUCUGGCUGAAGAAGAAUGCUCAUGACAGGCCUAAAUGACCUGCGCAAGCCACUCAUCUAUCCUUCCAGCUCCAUUAUCUCAACCAGCCGAGCAGCAGUCCCCUUGUUCCCCUAUUCCCUUGCAUCCCCAAGCAGCUGCCAGUAUGGCUGGUCGUGAUGGUGAUGGGAAGGACGGAUGAAUGCAGCGACAGCUGAGAGGAGAGGGGGGAGGGGGGAGUGACUAACGGUGUAGGUCGUGGCCGCCGCUGUUGCUGCUGACAAUGAUGAAGGCGUGAUCGUAUAUGGGAAUUAGCACCGGGCGAUCACGUUGUUGCGCACGAGGGCAUCGAAGGAAGACCAAUCCAUCCACUGGAUUUCCAAUGUUUUAGCCAAUUUAUCUUGAAGAGUCUCGUGUUACAUCGGAAUGUAGCACUGGAUAUUUUCGACUUCAAUUCUUCACGGUUGUGUUGAUCUUUCAACAAUUAAAUUUUGAUAUUUCUUGUGUGAGGCCGAAAUGUUUCAACCGUGAAUUCUCCAAUGUUUCCUGAUGGCGAAAUAUUUUCUCCCAGUGGUGAAAAAAUGCUCAAAUUUGGGGGAAAAUAUCGGGCACUCGAUUUGUAGUUGUGCCCUAGGCUGAAAGUAAGGUUCUGUUCAAGAUCCCUCUAGAGCAGAUUGUUUGAUAGACAAGUCAUGCUGCCAUGGUCGCAAAUAGUAUUACGCGUGCAGAGAACAGCACAACACACUUGCACAUCAUGUUGUGGAGAAAAUUUCUUCUAUGGCCCUAAAAUUUUUAGCUGAUCCUUUACAUGCCCCUCAAUUUUCUUUGCUCUCUUGUGUAUACCAGAAUUUUGAUUUUAAUCCCUUCCAUAUUCUUAUCAUCAAUUGCCUGUUAAUAGGUGCAAAAGAAGUUGGUUUUACCCUUAAAUGUGCAAGGAAUAUAUAGAAAUUUGUUGAAUCUA